rnacentral:rRNA from 1 species
GAGUUUGAUCCUGGCUCAGGGUUAACGCUGGCGGUGCGCAUAACACAUGCAAGUCGAGCGAGGGCUUAUUUCUCGCAAGAGAGAUGAGUUCCUAGCGGCGAACGGGUGAGUAACACGUGGGCAACCUUUCCUAUCGCGGGGGAUAACAGCGGGAAACCGCUGCUAAUACCGCAUGUCGUCACUGAUCGCAUGGUUGGUGAAGAAAGCAGCAAUGCACGAUGGGGUGGCCCGCGGCCUAUCAGCUAGUCGGUGGGGUAACGGCCUACCGAGGCGAUGACGGGUAGCUGGUCUGAGAGGACGGCCAGCCACACGGGGACUGAGACACGGCCCCGACUCCUACGGGAGGCAGCAGUGAGGAAUCUUCUGCAAUGGGCGAAAGCCUGACGGAGCGACACCGCGUGUGGGAUGAAGUCUUUCGGGAUGUAACCACU